UAGUUGGUGGGUGAAAUAAAGCAAAAGACGGUUCGAAGGACCACUUUCAUGUUCACCUUGUUAUUAGUUUUUGAUCAUCAGUUUUGCUAAAAUGUUUAAUUUUGUUCACACGUCGCUUGCCAAAAGGGUUUUCUGAAUACUGAUUGGUUAUUAUUCUCCGAUUGCAGGCAAGUUUCAGAUGCAGGUGCUGACGCGCUGCGGCCACGCGGUGCACGAGGACUCGCCCGCUGAAGUAAGCCGCGUGCUGGCGUCGUUCCUCCUGCGCCACCGCCUCACGUCGCCGACCGAAAACGGAGAGCACAUGCAGCUCGUCCAAACGCCUUCUUGUUAAAUUUUGGGCUGUUUGAUUGGACUUUUAAAAUCAUAAAAAAUAGUAAAAAAAAACAAUUUAAAUGAUACAAAAUUGACAGGAAUCGAUGUACUUUCGGGCAGGGAGACCAAAAAAUCGAAUUUUUUUUUUUGAUUUUUUGUCAUUUUUGUUAACUGUGUAGUGUUGUUUUGUUAUUUAUUUCCGAAUUUUAGGUGCCAGAGUUAAAUAAAUUAGCACAAAUUGGAUUUGGGAUUCAUUUUCUAAAUAACCUGUUUUUCUUUGGUUAUACAAUGUGUAUAUUUUAAAGGUGAUUUUAAAAGUUCCAUCGAAAGGAGAAAAUAAUAUGUAAAUAAUUUACAUAACUAUUUCAGAUGCUAAUAGAUUUAUUAAAUAGAAUUUUUGACGUCAAGACUGCUAUAAAAAUUAGUGUUUGUAACCAGUCAAGUCUCAUUUUCUGUUCCUCCGUAAUUUUUUACGUAUAAAAAAAGUAUUUAGUACUUAUUCGAUUAUAGAUUCAGUAUUUACUUAAGCUGUCUAUUUAUUAUUUAGAUAGUUCAAUUUCUCAUUUAUGUAUAAAUAAGAAAAAUUAUCACAAGAUAUUUUAAUAUUUUAUUUAUUACGUAAUAUCUGAUUUAUAUUUGGUAUUUAUUUAAAAUAAUCUGUAAUACGUAUGUUGUGACAAAACGUACAUAACUUAUGAAAAUGAAUAAAUUAUCUUCCAUUAUAUUCCUAUAUUGAGUAGCAUUUUGAUCAAAAAACAAAAUCAAAUGUUGGUGACCGAAACCUACUAAAUGAUGUAAAUUAAUAAUAUCCAAUAACAAUAAUUAAGUUAAAAGAGGUGCGUUAAGAUUUGAUGCGUACUGAUUUUUUUGAUUUCAUAGCUGUUAUUAAUAUUUUUCUCCCUGCGUUUACAUUACAUUGUUUUUCAUUUACAUUUUUUCUUUUAUGAAAAGAUAUGAAAAAAGUAAAAAAAAAAUCUCUCAAAAUUUAUUUAUUCAUAUAAGUCUCUUUUCAAACAUACAAAUCGUUUGUAAAUCAUUAAUUAAGUAUUGGCUUUUCUAUUUUUAUUCAAAAUCAAAUCCCCAGGGAAAUGGGUAAUGCGAGUAAAAACCCCCGGCUCUAUGUAUCUUUCCCAACUAGGCGGGCGAAGCCACGGGCGGAGAACUAGUGUAUUAUAUCUAUAAAAUCCAACAGAUGAUUGUAUCCGUUAUGUAAUUAUGAAUUAGUUGAAUUAUACUUGAUAUUUGGUUUCUAUUUGGAAGAUGGUGAAUUUAAUUUAUUUAAGAUAUAAAAUAAGUACAGUGGAAUUAGAAAAAAUAUUUAUGUAAGAAAUGUUGUGAAUAAAGUAAUUAUGGAA